UGGGGAAUAUUGGACAAUGGGCGCAAGCCUGAUCCAGCCAUGCCGCGUGAGUGAUGAAGGCCCUAGGGUUGUAAAGCUCUUUCACCGGUGAAGAUAAUGACGGUAACCGGAGAAGAAGCCCCCGGCUAACUUCGUGCCAGCAGCCGCGGUAAUACGAAGGGGGCUAGCGUUGUUCGGAUUUACUGGGCGUAAAGCGCACGUAGGCGGACUUUUAAGUCAGGGGUGAAAUCCCGGGGCUCAACCCCGGAACUGCCUUUGAUACUGGAAGUCUUGAGUAUGGUAGAGGUGAGUGGAAUUCCGAGUGUAGAGGUGAAAUCGUAGAUAUUCGGAGGAACACCAGUGGCGAAGGCGGCUCACUGGACCAUUACUGACGCUGAGGUGCGAAAGCGUGGGGAGCAAACAGCAUUAGAUACCCUGGUAGUCCACGCGUAACGAUGAAUGUUAGCCGUUGGGGAGUUUACUCUUCGGUGGCGCAGCUAACGCAUUAAACAUUCCGCCUGGGGAGUACGGUCGCAAGAUU
rnacentral:rRNA from 1 species